AUUGAACGCUGGCGGCAGGCCUAACACAUGCAAGUCGAACGAGUGGCGGACGGGUGAGUAAUGUCUGGGAAACUGCCUGAUGGAGGGGGAUAACUACUGGAAACGGUAGCUAAUACCGCAUACCAUCAGAUGUGCCCAGAUGGGAUUAGCUCGUUGGAGGGGUAAAGGCUCACCAAGGCGACGAUCCCUAGCUGGUCUGAGAGGAUGACAAGUCACACGUGAACUGAGGCCCGGUCCAUACUCCUACGUGAGGCAGGAUGUGGGAAUGUUGGACAAGUGGCGGAAGCCUGAUGCAGCCAUGCCGCGUGUAUGAAGAAGGCCUGUGGGUUGUAAAGUACUUUAAGCGGGGAGGCGUUACCCGCAGAAGGAGGACCGGCUAAUUCCGGGCCAGCAGCCGCGGUAAGAC
rnacentral:rRNA from 1 species